rnacentral:rRNA from 1 species
AGAACGAACGCUGGCGGCAUGCCUAACACAUGCAAGUCGAACGCUCUUGGGGCUUCGGUCUCAGGGGAGUGGCGCACGGGUGAGUAGCGCGUGGGAACCUGCCCUGUUGUGGGGGAUAACCGAGGGAAACUUCGGCUAAUACCGCAUAAGCCGGUUGUCUUGAAGGAGAUGGCCGGGAAAGAUUUAUCGCGACAGGAGGGGCCCGCGUCGGAUUAGCUAGUUGGUGGGGUAACGGCCCACCAAGGCGGUGAUCCGUAGCUGGUCUGAGAGGAUGAUCAGCCACACUGGGACUGAGACACGGCCCAGACUCCUACGGGAGGCAGCAGUGGGGAAUAUUGGACAAUGGGCGCAAGCCUGAUCCAGCAAUGCCGCGUGAGUGAUGAAGGCCUUAGGGUUGUAAAGCUCUUUCGCCCGCGACGAUGAUGACGGUAGCGGGAGAAGAAGCCCCGGCUAACUUCGCGCCAGUAGCCGCGGUAA